rnacentral:tRNA from 1 species
GCCUCCGUAGCUCAGUGGAAGAGCGACGGCCUUCUAAUCCGUUGGUCGCAGGUUCGAAUCCUGCCGGGGGCACAA